rnacentral:rRNA from 1 species
AACGAACGCUGGCGGCAUGCCUAACACAUGCAAGUCGAACGAAGUCUUCGGACUUAGUGGCGCACGGGUGCGUAACGCGUGGGAAUCUGCCCUUGGGUGCGGAAUAACUUCUCGAAAGGGAUGCUAAUACCGCAUAAUGUCGUAAGACCAAAGAUUUAUCGCCCAAGGAUGGGCCCGCGUAAGAUUAGCUAGUUGGUGGGGUAAAAGCCUACCAAGGCGACGAUCUUUAGCUGGUCCGAGAGGAUGAUCAGCCACACUGGGACUGAGACACGGCCCAGACUCCUACGGGAGGCAGCAGUGGGGAAUAUUGGACAAUGGGCGAAAGCCUGAUCCAGCCAUGCCGCGUGAAUGAUGAAGGCCUUAGGGUUGUAAAAUUCUUUUGCAGGGGAAGAUAAUGACGGUACCCUGCGAAUAAGCUCCGGCUAACUUCGUGCCAGCAGCCGCGGUAAU